GACGAACGCUAGCGGCGGGCUUAAUACAUGCAAGUUUAGGGGUUCAGCAAUGGACACCGGCGGACGGGUGCGUAACACGUAUGCAACCUGCCCUUUACUGGAGGAUACUCCGGAGAAAUUCGGCACAACACUCCAUAUACUCAUACUUUCGCAUGGGAGAAUGAGGAAAGGUUACGGUAAAGGAUGGGCAUGCGUCUGAUUAGCUAGUUGGCGAGGUAACGGCUCACCAAGGCGACGAUCAGUAGCUGGUCUGAGAGGAUGAUCAGCCACACUGGCACUGAGAUACGGGCCAGACUCCUACGGGAGGCAGCAGUAGGGAAUAUUGGUCAAUGGGCGAAAGCCUGAACCAGCCACGCCGCGUGCAGGAAGAAGGUCCUCUGGAUUGUAAACUGCUUUGCCAAGGGAUAAAGAGAGGCUAUACGCCUAAAU
rnacentral:rRNA from 1 species